rnacentral:rRNA from 1 species
GAACACGUAUGAGAGUAACUGUUCAUACGUUGACGGUAUUUAACCUAGAAAGUCACGGCUAACUACGUGCCAGCAGCCGCGGUAAUACGUAGGUGGCAAGCGUUAUCCGGAUUUAUUGGGCGUAAAGAGAGUGCAGGCGGUUUUCUAAGUCUGAUGUGAAAGCCUUCGGCUUAACCGGAGAAGUGCAUCGGAAACUAGGAUAACUUGAGUGCAGAAGAGGGUAGUGGAACUCCACUGUGUAGCGGUGGAAUGCGUAGAUAUAUGGAAGGAACACCAGUGGCGAAGGCGGCUACCUGGUCUGCAACUGACGCUGAGACUCGAAAGCAUGGGUAGCGAACAGGAUUAGAUACCCUGGUAG